CACUGCUCACUAGCGUGUCAUGUGCUUAUCUUCACUCCAUAAAGCCCCCCUCUUCGUUUACCUCAAACGAAUACCCUCAUUCAAGAUCUCAAAACCCUCUUCCUUCCUUGUUCUAGCUCUUUCCUUUGGCUGAGAUAGUUUGAGUGUGUGUGUGAGAUGAUGGUAGAGGCUUGCUCAUGUUCUUUCCCUCAGCUGCAGGGUGAUCCGCCAUGGCUGGUCAUGACCCGUUUGGAGGAGGAUGAAAAUCAUGACAUGAAAGCUGGGAGCUGUUCUGCAAAAGUGUUGAUCACAAUUUCUGAGGAAGAGGAGAGCUGGAAGCAAUCCUGCAACUAGGACCUUCCGUUGUUUACUACACAUGCUUCUUCAGUUUAUUCCGGGAUGGGGAGUGACUGAAUAAUCCAGCCACCUGAGCCAACGGUGGUUAUUAUUUAGUGUAGGGCUAUGGAAGCAGGACAAUGUUCAUGUUCUGCUAGGUCUAUAUAGAGGUUACCGCACACAAGAGUUCAGCUGAAAAAAAGGUGAUCAACUGAUUAUAUGUGUGCAUCUUUGUUAACAAUCACCAUGGUACUAGAUGAGAUAACAGAGCCUUUCUCCAGAAGUAUUGUCCGAAAGUGAUGAAACUACCCUUGGGUGCAUGAGACAGAGGGCUUACCACUUUCUGAUGUCCAAUAUUUUGAUAUUUCAGUUUAAAAUGGGAGGAAUCGGUAGAGUUGUUUCUCCAUUAUACAAAAGGUCAUACCCACAUCUCAACUGCAAAUCGUCACUUCUUCCACAAACUCAUAAGAGAUCUUUGUUCUCCAUCAUACAAAAGGUCAUACCCACAUCAUCUCAAACGCAAAUGCUCACUUCUUUAACAAACUCAUAAGAGAUCAU